rnacentral:lncRNA from 1 species
CAUUGAUUCAAUUGUAUGGAUAAAACUUUUUACAAAUACCUAAAUUUCAACUAUGCAUUUUGUCGAACAUGUCGUGUGCUUCCUCAGUUUCUUUAAAAUUUUCUAAUGAAAGUCUUACCAAUUCAAUUUGUGAGAUAUGAAUGAUGGUUUUGAUAGUAAAUAUUAUAAUUACCAUUGUAUUGUUUGGCAUUGUGAAGCCCGUAGUUUCAAGUCUCCCAAACAUGUUCAUAAGCAUAUUUGAUUUCAAGUGCACAUUGUCAGGCCCACCUGCUACACAAAAAAUAUGAUUAUUAUUAAUAUAAUAAUAUUUAUUAUGAUCUAGUUGUAAAUUUGCAUAUAUAAAAAGUGUUAACCAAAUAGAAAAUGUAUAUCAAACAAUGAAGUACAUUGUUAACUGAAAGUCAACAGUUAACUUGACCAAUAAAAAAAAGAUAGAUUUUUUCCCAAGUGGGUGGUUGUGUACCAGAGAAAAAAGACUACUGCAGUGUUGUCAUUUGCUGUAAAUUGUAACAGUAAACGUGAUAAAAUAGCAAAAGAUGAUAAUAAAAUAAAAUAUAAGUAUAAAACUAAGAAACCAAUGGAUUACUAUUACAUUCUUACUAAUCGCAAAUAUACCGAUUUUCCACAUGACAUUUAAUAACAUGAACAUUAAACUUGGACCUUUACAACAAAACAUCAAUAGGCUGAUAAGCAUAUCUAUGACAUCAUGAAAAUAUUUUUAAGAAUAAAAUGGGAUAAAGAGGAUGAAAAUAUAAUUUAUAAUGCUGUAAAGAAAGCUGAAACAAUCACACUCUUAGAAAAAGGACUACAAAUCAUACAGACAAUCUACUAUUUAGGAAAACUUUAUGCGUAUUUGUCGCGUUGAAUUGACCAUAACCUAACAAAUUUUCAAAAUACAUUUUACGUGCUUGUGUUACGACAGUUGAAAUAUCAUUUGUUUCCGCUUUGAUUGGCAAUAUAGAGACAACAAACAUAACAAACACAAAGAAGACAAAUAUAGGGGAUAACUUGCAAUUAGGGAGAUAAGUCAGGUGGGAAAUAAAAAAAUAAAAUAAAAAGUCGGGUUUAAAUCUUGGUUUGCACCUUCACAAAGCCAUCUAAAGCAACUGCCCUAUUUCUAGUAGUGAUUCUGCAAGGUCUCUUUAACGCUUUAUCUCAUUCAAUUCUAUCUCCAUCUGCAAAGAGAUUCAAGGUUAUAAAAUUAUGUUAUACUUAAUAAGCAACCAUGGUAAUCUAAUGUCAAUACAUGUUCGAUUUUCUGCUCUUUUUCCAACUUACAAACUUACCCUAAGUUAAACCUCAAAUUAUGGUUUACAAAAAACAAAAUCGUUGUUAAUACUUUAAAACCCAACCCCAAAAUCUGCAUCAAGGUUAACAACGAUUAUCAAUCCAAUACGCUAUGCAAAAUGAAGAAACACCCAAUGAAGAUUUUUUUGAAGAGUCGAACCAAUUUUAUUGAAUCAAAC